rnacentral:rRNA from 1 species
AAAUCACAAUGCGGGACUGUUAGUCUUGCAAUUGGAUUGAGAACAACGUACAACUCUUAUCGAUAAGCCAUUGGAGGGCAAGUCUGGUGCCAGCAGCCGCGGUAAUUCCAGCUCCAAUAGCGUAUAUUAACGUUGUUGCAGUUAAAAAGCUCGUAGUUGAAGUGAGGGAGUGUGUGGGUAUGAGAGCUAGUCUCAAGUACUCACAACCUCCCCCCUCCAAUCGGUGUAGUGGGGUAUUCAGUUAUUCUACUACUCCUUUGGUCGUUUACUGUGAGAAAAUUAGAGUGUUCAAAGCGGGCGUUUGUUUGAAUAGAUUAGCAUGGAAUAAUGAUUGAAGGCUUUCGUGUUCGAUUUGAUUGGUUUGUUCAUGGAAGCAAGGUUAAAAGGAACAGUUGGGGGUAUUCAUAUUCACUAGUUAGAGGUGAAAUUCUCGGAUUUAUGGAAGAUGA